AACACUUGGUUCUUGUCCCUGAAAAACUCUCAGUCUGUUAGAAGAUAUAGAAAUACAAGGAUAAAUUACUAGUAUGUCCUGGUAAUUGAAAAUACUAAGGCAAGCUUAGUGGAAUAGUGAAGAACAAAUGAUAAAUCGUGUCUCAGGAAGUAGAGGCUCCAGGAAAGGUAUAAAAAGGUUACAUUUGAUAGGCUGGGUUUUAAAGGCUUUCAGCUUCCUUGUCUGUAAUACAAGAAAAAACUGUUGUCAAGUGAGAAAAUCCAUGUGAAAAUGCUUUGUGAAGUGUGUAAAUACUAGCUUUGAAGAUCACACAUUCAAAGUAAACAAAUAUGGAGAUACUUGGGAUGAGUGAAAAAUUACAUCAUUGGACGUGAAGGAGUUUCAACAUCCAGCUUCAUCUAGGUGGUCGUGAUUACCUGCAUGCUUUGAGCUCAGCAGCAGUCUUCAUA
rnacentral:sRNA from 1 species